UUAAAAAGCGUCAAAGCUUAACCUAAAUCCCUAAAAUACCAUUAACCUUUAUGAACCCCUAAUUUAUAAUGAAUGACUCCAUAUAACUAUGGAAGACACCAUGCUAGGAUUAGUAACAAGAAUUUAUAAUUCUCCAAAAUGCAAACAUAAACCAAUACGGAUAAGCCAUUGGUAAUUACCGAACCUGAACUUACUGCAAUAACACUUACAAGAAAACCCUGCAGUAUUUACUCGUUAACCUAACACCAGCGCAUUUCAGGAAAGAUUAAUAAAAAGAGAAGGAAUUCGGCAAAUGACGACCCCGCCUGUUUACCAAAAACAUCGCCUCUUGACUUGUAAAUAAGAGGUCCAGCCUGCCCAGUGAAUUUUUAACGGCCGCGGUAUCCUAACCGCGCGAAGGUAGCAUAAUCACUUGUUCUUUAAAUGGGGACUCGUAUCAACGGCAUCACGAGGGUUUUACUGUCUCCUCUUUUUGAUCAGUGAAAUUGAUCUUCCCGUGAAGAAGCGGGAAUAUUUAUAUAAGACGAGAAGACCCCAUGGAGCUUUAAACCAAAUAGCAACUUAACCAUAUAUUGCCUAAUAAUUUUAAGCCCGUGCUACAAGGUUUUUGGUUGGGGUGACCGCGGAGUAAAGCAUAUCCUCCACGACGGAAAGACUAUAAUCUUUAUUUAAGAACUACAAUUCUAGAAAUUAGUAUACUAACGUUUACUGACCCGACAAUCGAUCAACGGAACAAGUUACCCUGGGGAUAACAGCGCAAUCUACUUCAAGAGCCCAUAUCGACAAGUAGGCUUACGACCUCGAUGUUGGAUCAGGGUAUCCCAGUGGUGCAGCCGCUACUGAAGGUUCGUUUGUUCAACGAUUAAAACCCUACGUGAUCU
rnacentral:rRNA from 1 species